GUGAGGAAUAUUGGUCAAUGGGCGGAAGCCUGAACCAGCCAUGCCGCGUGAAGGAAUAAGGCCCUAUGGGUCGUAAACUUCUUUUGACGGGGAGCAAUAAGGGUCACGAGUGGCCCGAUGAGAGUACUCGUCGAAUAAGCAUCGGCUAACUCCGUGCCAGCAGCCGCGGUAAUACGGAGGAUGCAAGCGUUAUCCGGAUUUAUUGGGUUUAAAGGGUGCGUAGGCGGACGUGUAAGUCAGGGGUGAAAUACCGGGGCUCAACCUCGGAACUGCCUUUGAUACUGCAUGUCUGGAGUUCGGAUGCCGUGGGAGGAAUGGGCAGUGUAGCGGUGAAAUGCAUAGAUAUUGCCCAGAACACCGAUUGCGAAGGCAUCUCACGAAUCCGACACUGACGCUGAGGCACGAAAGCGUGGGGAUCAAACAGG
rnacentral:rRNA from 1 species